rnacentral:lncRNA from 1 species
CUCCUCUUCACAGCACGGUUCUCUGCUUGUCGGUGUUUUUAUUUCUGACAUAAAAGUGAAGAGAUCGUCAACAACAAGCGGUUUACCUUCAGCAGAACAUGAGGAUUAAAGGAUUCCUGACAGAAACUCAACAACAACCAACUUCAUCUGAUCCAGGAUCAGCAAAAUCCAUAAAGCGCUCGACACUGACCGAUGCCGACGUGGGCCUCCAGGAUCAUGCUGACAUCAUUGGCGCCGUCUCCGAUGGCCAGCGUGAUCGGAUGCUCUUUGGAAGUUUUAAUCAUUUUCACAAUCUGAAAAUCAAGGGAGGGGAUUUCCAUGAGAAGGCGUGGAUCCCGGAGGGAACAUGUCUCCUUCGCUCGUACCUGAGCUUUCUGCAGCGGCGCCAUUCGACAGCAGAGCACGGCGCUGCAGUUACGACAGAUUUCCAGAAAGAUCUCUUUGUAACUCCCCGAGUUGGAGUCCUCCUGGGGGGGGCCUCAUGACUGCAGAGAGGGUGGCUCCAUCGAUGAUCAGCCCGUAGUCGGUGCAGUCAGUCGACAAACUGGAGAAGAAGGAGGAGCGUUCAGCUGCAGGUGGAGCAGGGGAGGCGGAGCUCUGCAGACCACUGGCCCACCUGGAGCAGUGGUCCCGCGUCAUGCUCCCAGGGGGCCGGAGGACCGUCCUGCUCAGUUCAAACAGGACAUCGUGGAGGUUCUGCUCCUCCACCCGUUUGGUGGUCAGCUCCAGGAUGUGGGUGCCGCGGCGGAACAGCUUGCUGGCGUAGCAGGUGGCGGCCGCCGUCUCCAUCUUGUCUCCGGUCAAAACCCACACCUUCAUUCCCGCUUUGUGGAGAGACUCGAUGGUAUCUGCCGCUUUGUCCUGCAGCCUGAAAAACCAAGAUAAAACACGUUUUAAAUCACUUUUUAUUCUAAUAAAAUGUGCCGUAUUUCUGCUAACAUUAAAGCCCAAAUGAUGUUUGAAUGACAAAUCUAUAAUCAGAAAAUGGGAUCAAUUAUUUAAAACUUGAAAAAUAAACAUCGUAACUGAAAAAAAUUAGAACAUUUGAAAACAAGACAUUGUAAAUUAAAAAAAAAUUAAUUUUGAAAAAAAAAAGGUUUUGAAAACUUGAGUUAAAUCUUGAACAUUAGAAAAAAAUAAAAAAUAAAUUAGUUUUGAGAAUUUGAAAAAAAACCCUGAAAACUUUGACAAACCAAUGAGCUUAAAUUAGAUGUAAAAUUAGGCUCAGCGCCGCAGCGAAAACUCAAAAAUCAGAAUCGAAGCUGUAAACUGAGGACUGAAAGUGAAGAUUCAGAAAAGCAAAGAAAAAAGUUGAAAAUUCAAAACAGCAGCUGUUACAAAUUGAUACAUUAUUUUUCAAUUGGUAAUUUUUACAUUUAUAUAUUUUUUCAAAUUUUCAAAAUAAUUUCUAAUUUUCGUUUUUAUCGAAUUUUCU